rnacentral:rRNA from 1 species
CCUACGGGAGGCAGCAGUGGGGAAUCUUCCUCAAUGGGCGCAAGCCUGACGGAGCAAUGCCGCGUGCACGAAGAAGGUCCUCGGGUUCUAAAGUUCUGUCCUUAUCGGAGAAACAGUCUAGACUGAAAAAUGAUAUACUAUAACGGUAGAUUAGGAGGAAGCCACGGCUAACUACGUGCCAGCAGCCGCGGUAAUACGUAGGGGGCUAGCUGUGUCCGGCAUCACUGGGGGUAAAGGGCGCGGAGGCCGGAAUAUAAGUCAGAUGGGAAAGGUGGGGGCUCAACCCCUAGAGCGCAACUGAUACUGGAGAACUUGAGUGUGAGAGAGGGAAGCGGAAUUCGUGGUGUAGCGGUGAAAUGCGUAGAUAUUAGGAGGAACACCAGUGGCGAAGGCGGCUUUCCGGCUCAUAACUGACGCUGAGGCGCGAAAGCGUGGGUAGCAAACAGGAUUAGAUACCCCAGUAGUC